AGUCAGCUGGGCAGUCGCCGGUUCGUCUUUGACGAACGGGAGGAAAGUCCGGGCUCCAUAGGGCAGGGUGCCAGGUAACGCCUGGGGGGCGAAAGCCUACGGAAAGUGCAGCAGAGAGUAGACCGCCAGCAAACUUCGGUUUGUCGGUAAGGGUGAAAGGGUGCGGUAAGAGCGCACCGCGCGCGUGGCAACAUAGCGUGGCAAGGUAAACCCCACCUGGAGCAAGGCCAAAUAGAGAUCCAUUGACGCGGCCCGCGUUGGAUCCGGGUAGGCCGCUUGAGGUCAUCGGUGACGAUGAUCCUAGAUGAAUGACUGUCCUCGACAGAACCCGGCUUACAGGCUGGCUCU
rnacentral:RNase_P_RNA from 1 species